rnacentral:rRNA from 2 species
UGCAGUCGAACGAUGAUCCGGUGCUUGCAUCGGGGAUUAGUGGCGAACGGGUGAGUAACACGUGAGUAACCUGCCCUUAACUCUGGGAUAAGCCUGGGAAACUGGGUCUAAUACCGGAUAUGACUGAUCAUCGCAUGGUGGUUGGUGGAAAGCUUUUUGUGGUUUUGGAUGGACUCGCGGCCUAUCAGCUUGUUGGUGAGGUAAUGGCUUACCAAGGCGACGACGGGUAGCCGGCCUGAGAGGGUGACCGGCCACACUGGGACUGAGACACGGCCCAGACUCCUACGGGAGGCAGCAGUGGGGAAUAUUGCACAAUGGGCGAAAGCCUGAUGCAGCGACGCCGCGUGAGGGAUGACGGCCUUCGGGUUGUAAACCUCUUUCAGUAGGGAAGAAGCGAAAGUGACGGUACCUGCAGAAGAAGCGCCGGCUAACUACGUGCCAGCAGCCGCGGUAAUACGUAGGGCGCAAGCGUUAUCCGGAAUUAUUGGGCGUAAAGAGCUCGUAGGCGGUUUGUCGCGUCUGCCGUGAAAGUCCGGGGCUCAACUCCGGAUCUGCGGUGGGUACGGGCAGACUAGAGUGAUGUAGGGGAGACUGGAAUUCCUGGUGUAGCGGUGAAAUGCGCAGAUAUCAGGAGGAACACCGAUGGCGAAGGCAGGUCUCUGGGCAUUAACUGACGCUGAGGAGCGAAAGCAUGGGGAGCGAACAGGAUUAGAUACCCUGGUAGUCCAUGCCGUAAACGUUGGGCACUAGGUGU